ACAGCUCCUGGCAACACCGGAUCCUUCAUUCGAGGCCAGGGAUUGAACCUGUGUCCUCACAGAGACAAUGUUGGGUCCUUAACCCAUGGAGCCACAACGGGGAUUCCAACAUUUGUUUUUCAUUGAGAAAUGUUCCUUUUGCGCCUUUUCCUUAAGCUUCAUAAUUUCGUUUGGAAGAGUGAAGUAACGGGGAGGGAAGAGAAAGAUGGUGAGGGAAAGGCCUCUAGGGACUGCUGAUUGCUCUCUCCUCGGUGGAAUAUACUGCACUCAGGGAGACACCAGCUGUAGUUUGCCUUGCCAAUAAGUAUAACAAAUGAGCUUUGGUUUUUGCUAUUGUCUGGUACACUAAGUUUUUAGUUGUGACCAGAAAGGUUUUUCUUUUUUUAAUCAAAUAAAUCUAACUUUUUGGAAUUCUUUGUCUUCCUCGUUUGUGCCGCCUGGUCUGUGCGUGUCCUGCCACUGGUCACCAUCUCUGCAGCAAACAAAGUGAUGAUUCUUAUCACUUGACCCCAGCACAGGUCUUUCGAUGCUUGAAGGGAAAAAAAUUGAACGCCAGAGAGAGAAAGAGAGAGGGAGAGACAGGAAGAGCUGGAAAAGCCCCUGGUGAUGUUGGAUCUACUUUUUUAAUUCUCAAGAUCUUGUUUGCUUUCUUUCUUUCCUUUUCACUGGGUCGGGGGCCACUCCAUCCAGUCCACCAAAGUUCACUUACUUCCAUAAUCUAUUUCUUUCUCGACUUUGUGCAAUGCGGUGUACAUACCUCAUAUACACAAUUACUCAGGAUUGUCAUUGGCCAGAAUUAUUCAUAAGAAAAAUGAGGAAACCAAAGAUAGCUGGGAAGUGUGAGAAUUGGGAUUCAUCCUCUGCUUCCACAAACACUGAGCUGCCACCUCUGGUGUCACCAGGAGGUGACAAGAGCCUGGAGCCUGAAGGAGAUGAAGGGCUGGGACCUCUGACAUGAGUCACACCUGGGCAAAGGCCUUAAAAUUAACCUUUUGCUCUUCUCUGCAAAUUAAAUAUAUGUAUUAUAUACAUAUGCAAUUAAAUAUAUACAUAUAGAUAUACAUGUAAUGGAGAGAGAGAAAGAUUCUAUAUGUGUGUGUGACUGCGUGUGUGAAUUAUACUCUUCUUGUAAAAUUGGAAAUUUAUUCCUUUUUGAUGAACUGAAGCCUCAAACAUGUAAAUUUUACUAUAUUCUAGUACAAAAUAUAAAUGUAUUUAAAAAACUAAAUUUUAACCGAAGUUGAUAUAUUCAAAAAUGCAAUUAUAAGAUAAAAAUAAUAAAAGCACAUCUCAUUUUAUUGUGCUUUAGGUUACUGUCCUUCGAAGAUAUUGCAGAUUUUGCUUUUUUAUGGCCUCAUCCACAGCCUAUGGAAGUUCCCAGGUCAGGGAUUGAAUCCAAGCCACAGCUGCAGCAAGGCCAGAUCCUUUAAUGCACUGAGCCAGGCCAGGGAUCCAACCUACACCUCUGCACUGACCCAAGCUACUGAAGUCAGAUUAUUAACCCACUGUGCCACAGCCAGAAAUCCCGCUGUGGAGGAUUUUUGUUUUGGGUUUUUGUUUGUUUUUUUUGUUUUUUUUUUAGGGCCACACCCAAGGAAUAUGGAAGUUCCCAGGCUAGGGGUCGCAUCAGAGCUGCAGCUGCCAGCCUAUGCCACAGCCACAGCAAUGCCAGAUCUGAGGUGCAUCUUCAACCUAUGCCACAGCUCACAGCUACGCUAGAUCCUUAACCCACUGAGCGAGGCCAAGAAUUGAACCUGCAUCCUUAUGGAUACUAGUCGGCUUCGUUUCCCCUGAGCCGUGAGGGGAACUCCCUGUGGGGGGUUUAUAAUGAGGGUUUAUGGCAACUCUGUGUCCAGCAAGUCUGCUGGUACCAGUUGUCUAAUAAGGAAGCAUUUGCCCGCUUCUCAUCUUCGUGUCGCAUGUCGGCAAUUCUCAGGAUAUUUCAGACUUUAAAAGUAGUGUUAUAUUUGUGAUAGUGCUCUGCCAGCAGCCGUCUUUCAUGUUGCUAUUGUGAUUGUUGGGAGGCACCACUACUCAAGCUCCUAUAAGACGGUGAACUUAGUAAAUCUCGUGUGUGUGUUCCUACUGCUGCACCAACAGGCCCCGGUCCUCUCUCCCUCUCAUUCGGCCUCCCUCUCUCUCAUUCGGCCUCCCUCUUCCCUGAGACACAAAAACAUUGAAAUUAAUUGAAACUGGGCCAGUUAAUAACCCUACAGUGACCUCUAAGUGUUCAAGAGACGGGACGGGUCACAUGUCUAACUUUAAAUCAAAAGCUGGACGUGAUUAAGCUUAGUGAGGAAGGCAGGGCGAAGUUCCAGAUAGGCCGAGAGCUGGGUCUUUUGCAAUAGUUAAAUGGAGAGGAAAAGUUCUUGUAGAAAAUUAAAAGUGCUGCUCGGUGAACACAUGGAUAAUAAGAAAGACAACCGUCUCUACUGGUGACAACGAGAAGGUUUUAGUGGUCUAGAAAGAGAACCAAACCAGUCACAACAUUCCCUUAGGCUGAAGCCUCAUCCAGAGCGAGGUCCUACUUCUCUUCAAUCCUGUCAAGACUCAGAAAGGUGUGGAAGCUGAAGAAGAAAAAGGUUGAAUCUAGCAAAGGUUGGAGUGUGACGUUCAAGGAAAAAAGCCAUCGCCAAAGUACAAGGUGAAACAGCAAGUGCUGAUGUGUAUAAGCUGCCACGGGUUAUCCAGAAGGUCUAGCUCAGGUCAUUUCAGUAUUGAUAAAACAGCCUAUUUUUAGGUGUUGGAAAAGAUUUUGGUUAAAGUAUGAUUGAUUUACAAUGUUGUGCCAAUGUUUCGCUAUAUAGCACAGUGACUCAUUCUUUUGCUUGUUUUAUCUUCCAUCGAGUUCUACCCCAAGACACUGGAUAUAAAUUCCUGUGCCGUAAAGAGUAGGACCUCACUGCUUCUUCAUUCUAACCCCAGACUCCCUGUCCAUCCCACUGCCUCUCCCUCCCCCUUGGUAACUACAAGUCUGUCUGCUCUCUAUGUCUGAGUCUUUAUUUCUGUUUUAUAGACAGGUUCCUUUAUGCCAUAUUUUAUCAUGAUUUUUAUUUUUGCCAUUAUAGCUGGUUUACCUGUUCCAUCAGUUUUCUACUGCACAGCAAGGUGAUCCAGUCACACAUACAUGUAUACAUUCUUUUAUACCAUUAUAAUAAUUAUUAUACCAUAUUUUAGAUUCCUCAUAUAAAUGAUAUCAUGUAGUAUUUGUCUUUCUCUUUCUGUCUUUCUUCACUUAGAAUGAUAAUCUCUAGUUGCAUCCAGGUUGCUGUAAAUAGCAUUACUUCCUUCUUUUUUUAAUGGCUACACAGCCUUACAUUUGAAGAAGAGGCAUCUUGGACUUUCAUAGCCAAAGAGGAGAUGUGUCAGUGCCUGGCUUCAAACCUUCCGAGGACAGGCCGACUCUCUUGUUCGUGGCUCAUUCAGUCGGUGACUUUCAGUUGAAACUUUUGCUUGUUUACCAUUCUAAAAUUCUAGGGCUCUCAAGAAAUAUGUUAGGAGUUCCCAUCAUGGUUCAGUGGAAACAAAUCUGACUAGUAUCCAUGAGGAUGCAGGUUCGAUCCCUGGUCCUGCUCAGAGGCAUUGCUGUGAGCUGUGGUGUAGGUCACAGACGUGUCUCAGAUCCUGCAUGGCUGUGGCUGUGGCAUAGGCUGGCAGCUACAGCUCCCAUUUGACCCCUAGCCUGGGAACUUCCACACGCCAUGGGUGCAGACCUAAAAAGACAAAAUAAGGGAAAAAAGAAAUAUGUUAAAUUAACUCAGCCUGUGUUGUACAAAUGCAACAACAAAGCCUGGAUGAGAGCAUGUCUGUUUACAACCAUGCUUUACUAAAUGUUUAAGCCCACUGUGGAGACCUAUUACACAUAAAAAAUAAAGAAUUCCUUUCAAAAUGUCACUGCUCAUUGGCAAUGUACCUGGUCACCCAAGAGCUCCGAUGAAGAUGGACAAUGAGAUGAUGUUGUUUCCAUACCUGCUAACACAACAUCCAUUCUGCAGCCCAUGGAUUAAGGAGUAAUUUUGACUUUCAGGUCUUAUUAUUUAAGAAAUACAUUUCCAAAGACUGCAGCUGCCAGAGAUGGUGAUUCUUCUGUUGGACCUGAGCAGAGUAAAUGGAAAACAUUCUGGAAAGAAUUCAAAAGUCUAGAUGCCAUUUAAAAGCAUUCAUGAUGCAUGGGAAAGCUCCAAAUAUCCACGGUAACAGGAGUUAGGAAGACAUUGCUUCCAAUCUUCAUGGAUAGCUCUGAGGGCUCAAGACUUUAGUGGAGGAAGUAACUGCAGAUGUGGUGCAAACAGCAAGAACACUAGAAUUAGAAGUGGAACCUGAAGGUUGUACCUGAAUUGCUACAAUCACAUGAUAAAACUUGAACGGAUGAAGAAAAGUUCCCAGUGUGGCUCAGGGGGUUAGGAACCCAACUAACUAGUAUCCAUGAGGAUGCGGGUUCCAACUCUGGCCUCACUCAAGUGGGUUAAGGAUCCCAGUGUUGCCAGGAGCUACAAUGUAGGUCGUGGCUCGUAUCUGGCGUUGCAGUGGCUGUGGUGUAGGCUGGCAGAUGCAGCUGCAGUUCAACCCCUAGCCUGGGAAAUUCCAUUUGCUUCAGGCUUGGCC
rnacentral:lncRNA from 1 species